UACGGGGGGAGCAAGCGUUGUUCGGAUUUACUGGGCGUAAAGGGCGCGUAGGCGGCCACCGCAAGUCGAUUGUGAAAUCUCCGGGCUUAACCCGGAAAGGUCAACCGAUACUGCGGGGCUAGAGUGCGGAAGGGGUAACUGGAAUUCUUGGUGUAGCGGUGAAAUGCGUAGAUAUCAAGAGGAACACCUGCGGCGAAGGCGGGUUGCUGGGCCGACACUGACGCUGAUGCGCGAAAGCUAGGGGAGCGAACGGG
rnacentral:rRNA from 1 species